CAGAGCAAAGGUUCUAUUGAAGCUGAAACUUGCUAGCGAGGACCUCGUCCCAACGGACCACGAGGCAAAGAGUGACUGUACCGGGGGUCGAGAUCAGCCCUCAGCCCGAGGAGCCGGGGAGGCCCCUGCCUGGUGGGGGCCGGAGGGCACGUCUGCCACGCACAGGAUCACGGGGGUCUCGCAGUUCUUCUGUGCCCCGGGACAGCGACCUGCGGCGGUCCUGUGUUUCCUUCUCCAAAUGAGGAGCUGACUUUCCGGGGCGGUGGGGGAAGGGAGCGGACCUUCCGGCAAGCCGAGACCUGGCCUCGGAGCACCGCCAACCGCCUGCACCGUGGACAUCGCCUACGCUUUGCCCCUUCCAGCCCCAAGCUUGCUGGCUCCACUGCACAGACGGGGAAACCGAGGCACGAGGAAGGUGUGCCCCCAGGGUCAACCGGAAGCCAGCAAAUGUCAGCGUCAAUAGAUGUGCAAACCCCAAGAGUGCUCGGUGCCACCACCAUGGUGUGAACCGCCUUUCGGGCCUUCCCUCAGGUACACACCCUCCGGGUGAGUGGGGGGUGGGCCCUGUGGUUUGUGCUGGCUUAUGAAACGUUUGUCCCACAGGUUCUGUGACUCAAGGGCUCUCGUGAGGCUGUAGUCAGGCCGUCGCCGGGGCCGUGGUCCCCUCCAAAGUUCCGCCAGGGGGGAUCACUUCUGAGCUGGCUCACCCAUGAGCCCAUUUCUGAGAUAAAAACGGAAGCUUAGCGAGGUUAAGCGUCUGACUCAAGAAAAUACAACCUAAGUUGUCAGGGUCAGGUGCAUUUGUCUCCCCCCACCCCUCCCCGCAAGGAGGGUGCAGCCAGGGGACGGCUUGCGCCUGUCCAGGUGGGGCGGCAUUUGCAGUCUCCAAGGGAGGGGACCUGCGGCCACUCCAUGGGUGGAUGUCGCUGCGUCGAGUCCUGGCAUGGCCCGGCGGGGCCGGUUCCUGACUUCACAGAUGUCCCUUAGGCCAGGACGGGACAUCUGCCCCGGGUGUCCUACUGAUGUCUGGAGCAGGCGGGACCCAGGCCGGGUUUGGCAGCUGAAAGCCCUGUUUCUCUUCUCCAUCACUCAGCUCGCUGCCCGUCUCCAGCGGCUGGAGCUAGCACGCGGCUGUCACCGGGACGCAGUCAGCUGACGACCCUGUGAUCCCCACUUUGUGGCUGGUCCCGAGUCCUGCCUGUGGGGUCCUGCCUGUGGGGUGGGUGGGCCCCACUCACCAGCUGUGUGAGUUCGGGCUCCCUGCGUCCUCUCUCCACCCUUCACUCUUAAGCGGGUGAGACCAGAAGCCCGACCUCCAGGGGGGGCUUUGUGGACAGGUGGGGUGACCCAUGUGAGCCCGGGCCGGGGCGUUCUCAUCCGUCGUUAAGCUAGUAAUGCCGUUGUGUGAUAAGAGUCGGGGAUCCAGGGCGGGGAGAGAACCAGGCGAACCCCAGCCCGCCACUUCCUGGGUGAGCCAUUGCUGUCACCAAGGAGGGGCGGUCACAAC
rnacentral:lncRNA from 1 species